rnacentral:tRNA from 3 species
GGUGAGGUGGCCGAGUGGUCGAAGGCGCACGCCUGGAAAGCGUGUAACGGGCAACCGUUCGAGAGUUCGAAUCUCUCCCUCACCGCCA